GAACGUUGGCGGCGUGGAUGAGGCAUGCAAGUCGAGCGUGAAAGCCCCUUCGGGGGUGAGUAGAGCGGCGGACGGGUGAGUAACACGUAGUCAAGCUACCCUCGAGACCGGGAUAACCAGGGGAAACCGUGGCUAAUACCGGAUGGCCCUGCGGGAGCGCAUGCUCCUGUGGGUAAAUGGUGGGGAUCCUUCGGGACCUGCUGCUCGGGGAUGUGAUUGCGGCCUAUCAGCUUGUUGGUGGGGUAACGGCCUACCAAGGCGAUGACGGGUAGCAGGCCUGAGAGGGUGGUCUGUCACACUGGGACUGAGACACUGCCCAGACUCCUACGGGAGGCUGCAGUCGAGAAUCUUCCGCAAUGGGCGAAAGCCUGACGGAGCGACGCCGCGUGGAGGACGAAGGCCUUCGGGUUGUAAACUCCUGUCACGGGUGAUGAAAGUGCAUGUGUUAAUAGCGCAUGCAUUGACGUAAGCCCGAAAGGAAGCACCGGCUAACUCCGUG
rnacentral:rRNA from 1 species